CAAUAGCGUAUAUUAAAGUUGUUGCAGUUAAAAAGCUCGUAGUUGGAUUUCAGGGGCUCCUGGGUGGUCUGCCGCAAGGUAUGCACUGCCCGGCGGGUUUCUUCCUCUUGAAGACGGCGCCGGCCCUUAACUGCGGUCGACGUCCGGAUUCAGGUCGUUUACUUUGAAAAAAAUAGAGUGUUCAAAGCAGGCCAACGCCUUGAAUACAUCGCAUGGAAUAAUGGAAUAGGACUUCAGGCCUAUUUUGUUGGUUUCCGAGUCUGAAGUAAUGAUUAAUAGGGAUAGUUGGGGGCAUUCGUAUUUAAUUGCUAGAGGUGAAAUUCUCAGAUUUAUGAAAGACGAACUUCUGCGAAAGCAUUUGCCAAGGAUGUUUUCAUUAA
rnacentral:rRNA from 1 species